UAUUGUUAUUUGUCAUAUUGACAAACCAAAAAUAUUUAUAGAAUGAACAUUUGUAUCCUUGCUUAUCAGUAAAACAGCUUAAAUAAUUCAUACUUCAUUCAUAUGUACAAAGCGAUGAGAAAUUUGUAUUUGUUGAUUGGGGUGGGUUUUUACACUUUUACGUUUAAUUUUCAACUUUCCACAUUUUCCUAAGAAAAAAAUAUAGCAGCAUGACAAGUCAAGAAAGAAUCACUCAAUCUAUUAGAAAUUCUGGCACAUCAUCUUACUACUCUAGAAGAACCGCUCCAGGUCCUCACGAAUCUCGAUGGAGGCGAUUUAAAAAUUAUUUGUAUGACAAAGAGACUAAAUAUGUAUGUGGCAGAUCGGGAAUUAGUUGGGUGAAAAUUAUUGGCUAUUAUGUAUUAUUUAUCACAGGAGUGUCUUGUUUAUUUUCAUUCAUAUUAGGAAUUACUCUGUACAUGAUUGAAAGAUCUCCAGUACCCCUUAUGCCAAAAACCAAGUAUUUAAUGGAAAAUCCACCUGGAUUUACUUUUCUUCCUAACAAAUAUCCUGAAAUGCCCCUUAUAUGGUAUUAUAAUGGUAUUGAAAGUAGUGUUCAUUCGAAAACAGUUAACGAUUUUUUUGAAGUCUAUGACGAUGCAGUCUCAAAAAAUGCAGACAAUUAUGUGGAUUGUGAAAAAGAAAACCCUAAAGAUCACAAUAAGAGUUGCAUCUUUAGAAGAGAUGCUUUAGGUCCAUGUGCUCAACCAACUUAUGGUUCAAAGUCACCCUGUAUUUAUUUAAAACUAAACAAACAUCCGGGUUGGGUACCAAAAUAUUAUGGUGCUUUACCUGAUAAAAUGCCAGAAGAACUUAAAAAACUAAUAAAGGCUUCCACAAACAGAAAGAAAAUAUGGGUUUACUGUCACCCUAAUAAACCAGCUGAUGAAGAUCAUUUAGGGAAUAUCAGUUACUAUCCCAAUCAAGAAAUUCAAGAAUACUACUUCCCUUUUAAUUUUCAAAAAUAUUAUUUAAGUCCUGUAGUAGCAGUUCAAAUAAAUGAUGUUGAGCCGGGUUAUCUAAGUGUUGUAAGGUGUUCAGUGUGGGCUGAUAACAUUGCACCUAAAUUCCAAUCUGUUUUGAUUUCAUUUUAUAUCGGAUCCCCAAAAUAAUCAGUGUCAAGUAAAGAUAAUAGUAAAUAACGUAUUUGAAGUACAAAAAAAAAAACAAAAUGUAUUUUACCUUACGCUUUCGGCGGCGAUUACAGAGGUAUCACUACUCGUUCUGGAUGAGAUUUUCUUUUCAAAUUCUCUGAACUCUUUGGCUAUUUUAGU
rnacentral:misc_RNA from 1 species